rnacentral:hammerhead_ribozyme from 1 species
AUUCAGAUGACGAGCCCUAAACAGGACGAAACGCGUGUCCUGGAU